AAUGAAUUGCCUGAUAAAAAGGAUUUCCUUGAUAGGGAUAUUAUAUAAUUUUAAUAUUAUAUUCAUUA
rnacentral:tRNA from 1 species